AGAUACAGACACUCCAUUUCAAAGCCUUGAGUCACUCCUCUCGCCCACCCUCUCCCAGUCACUGGACACCAAAAGAAAGAGCUGUGCAUCGUAGAUGCCACGACAUCACUCACAAGACACAAUCAAUGUAGAAGGGGACUGCUGUUUGGAGAGGGAAGGGAAUUAAGUGACUGCUGCCCUAGACCGGGUGCAUGGAGCUCUCUCUGAAGAGGCACACAGAGGGUCCUUGAUUUUCCAGGUUGCCAGCUGGCCCUUUCCCAGAAAAAUGUCUCUUCAGCAACACUUCAGAAUUAAAAGCCCCAGUCCUAGAAGGAGGUGAGCCCAAGCGGGUUCCUGAAUAUAAAUGGAGCCGCACUGAGCUCAGCGGGACGGCUUGCAGGUGUAAAGGUGUCGCCCAACUGCAGGGUCUGUGCCUUAUUUAGACAUGGUCAGUAGGGGUAUCAGUCAGUAGGCACAAGAAGGGUUUAGGGAAGAGGACAAUUACAGAAAUGUUUUUCAGUUAAGAUUUCAGCAAAUCAAGGUGGUUCAGUCUGAAGUGUUUUCAAGCCACUGCAAACUGCCAUAAAUCACAGCAAACAUAAAAUCUAGCAAAAUCACCUCUGCAUUAUCAGCAGUGCCCUUGAUGUAUAGCCUGACAAACAGCUCUAGCUGCUCCAUAGAGUAAGGGUGCUCUAACCCCAAGCUCUUCCAACUUCAAAAUAUAUGAAGUCUCUGAACAUUUCAUGGCCCCUAAAAAAUUCCCAAGACAAUGCAGUAAGUUUACCAUGAGUCAUAACGAACCAUGACAAUUAAUAACAGGAAUAAAAUCCCUACUCAAAUCCUCCGAGCAUAAAACAAAAGCUUUCCUGUUAUAAACAUAGAACCAGGCUGAAUUGCUUAAUUCCACCCAACAAAACUACAGAUCCUCGCUCCCACUGGGGAGCUUUAUAUGGCAGUUAUCAAAAAUCCAAUAUAUGAGACCAAACAGGCAUGGAGGAACCCAGACUUUCCAAAUUAAGCCCUCAGAGAAUCUCUUUAAAUCCAUCAGAGAACCUAAAAGCCAUUAAUCUAUCAACCGACUCUAGAUUCUUCCCAUAACUUUAUAUCCAAGUCAAUCAAAAGUGCCCCUCCUUUACUGAUGAUAAAUCCUUGAGGUCUUUUUGGUCUUAUUAAAAGUAUAGGCCCGGGUGGCAGGAGAGGUGUAUUCUGUUGUGUGUCUUUACAAUGGCCUUGGUGCAUAAUCCUGGCUUAACCUCUCAAUGCCUUGGUUUCCCCCACCUGUUCUGGAUAACAAUAGUGAUUUACUUCAUAGAGCUUCUGUGAGGCUCUGUUUGUCUCUGUGAUGCAUUAUUUUUUAUCACAGCUACAACCAGUCCCACCUGCCCAAGCAAAGCACAUUACCUGCACUAUGAUUUCUGUGCGACUCAAAAACCCUUCUUUUUUCCGCUUAGGAGCGAUUCUCUUCUCCCCGUGACCAGAUUUGGAGUGCGAUACUCAGGCAGUGCUCUAGGUUUAGAUCCCACAAAGAUAAAAUUUGACGAGGCCAAAUGCCUAGUGUGGGGUCAUCGGUAAAUAAGAAAGUCUCUAUAACAUAAGGGACUUCUUCAUGUGGUAAAAUCAUUCUGCUUGUGAGACAAUGGCACAAAGCACAGAUAGACUGAGGAGCCCAUCAUUAGCAUUUGUAUAUUGGACAACAUUGUGAAGUGAAUAUAUUUCCACCCAGGCUACUUUAGGGAGCUGCCGACAGAAACAAAUGCAAAGAGAAAGCGGUAUAGAGCCUUAAAUGCAGUGUCCGUCUAUUUUAUUUGGGGAAAAAACCUGUUAUUGUAUCAGAUAAAGUUUUGUAAUGAAUGGCUAGGCUCAUAAAAGAGUGUGCAGUUUGUGGAUGCUUUAUUCUGUCUAGACUUUCUUCUUUCUGUAAUAAAACCUAAUGGCAAAGUAGACAAUGGCUAUAUUUACCAUUCGUCCAUCA